rnacentral:rRNA from 1 species
UAGGGAAUCUUCCACAAUGGACGCAAGUCUGAUGGAGCAACGCCGCGUGAGUGAAGAAGGCUUUCGGGUCGUAAAACUCUGUUAUUGAAGAAGAACGUGUGUGACAGUAACUGGUCAUGCAGUGACGGUAUUCAAUCAGAAAGUCACGGCUAACUACGUGCCAGCAGCCGCGGUAAUACGUAGGUGGCAAGCGUUGUCCGGAUUUAUUGGGCGUAAAGCGAGUGCAGGCGGUCUUUUAAGUCUGAUGUGAAAGCCUUCGGCUUAACCGAAGAAGGGCAUCGGAAACUGGGAGACUUGAGUGCAGAAGAGGAGAGUGGAACUCCAUGUGUAGCGGUGGAAUGCGUAGAUAUAUGGAAGAACACCAGUGGCGAAGGCGGCUCUCUGGUCUGCAACUGACGCUGAGGCUCGAAAGCAUGGGUAGCGAACAGGAUUAGAUACCCUGGUAGUCCACGCCAUAAACGAUGAGUACUAGGUGUAGGAGGUAUCGACCCCUUCUGUGCCGCAGUAAACACAUUAAGUACUCCGCCUGGGAAGUACGAUCGCAAGAUUAAAAC